UACUCUAGAUCAAGUUUAACGGAGCCGAUCGACGAUUCGAAAGCCGCAACAUAGAAAACGAGCUGGAAGCACGGAAGGCUCCGUGCUUCCGAUAGUAUAGUAGCCUCACUCUCUAUAUAUAUAUAUAUAUAUAUUAGGGCUACUAUACUCUUAUGAGUAUUGGGCCCUUCGUACUCGUACUUAUAAGUUAUUUUCAAUGAUGGAGCUUCCGAAUCGACAAUCCACUCCGUUAAAUAUGAUCUAGAGUGUUUGAAACUUCUAAAAUAUAAAUUUCACAAUUUUUCAAAAUCAUAAUAAAGUCCAUCAAACGGCCAUAAAAUGAACGGUCAAAAUCGAACGAUGUUCUAAAAAUGAAUGAUCGGAUCCUUCAAUUUAAGAUCGGAGUUAUUGAUCUUUAUCUAGGUAGUGAAUAGAAUUUUCUAUAAAAAAUUCAACCUCUUCCAGUUCUUUUGCACCGUUAAACUAGCAAGUAUCCCAUACCGGUCGUUAAAAUUGUCAAUUUUGUGAGCUUUUGAUCGUAAGGUAAAUGAUGUCAAAAAUUUAUGAAAUUUAAUUUCUAGAAGUUUUAAAUGCUCUUGAUAAUGUUUAACGGUAUGGAUCGUCGUUUAGGAAGCUCUAUCAUCGAAAAUGACUUAUGAGUACGAGGGCGAUCAUACUUAUAAGAGUAUAGUAGCCGAACUCUAUAUAUAUAUAUAUAUAUAUAUAUAUAUAUAUAUAUAUAUAUAUAUAUAUU
rnacentral:lncRNA from 1 species